UACGAAGGGGGCUAGCGUUGCUCGGAAUUACUGGGCGUAAAGGGCGCGUAGGCGGACAGCUUAGUCAGAGGUGAAAGCCCAGGGCUCAACCUUGGAACUGCCUUUGAUACUGGCUGUCUUGAGUUCGGGAGAGGUGUGUGGAACUCCGAGUGUAGAGGUGAAAUUCGUAGAUAUUCGGAAGAACACCAGUGGCGAAGGCGACACACUGGCCCGAUACUGACGCUGAGGCGCGAAAGCGUGGGGAGCAAACAGG
rnacentral:rRNA from 1 species